AUGAAAAACACAAGGUGAGAGAGAGAGCUUGAGAGAGCGACCGAGAAAGAAGGGAGAGAGAAGGAAGAGAGAGAAAGAGAAAGUAAUAUCAAAUUAGCAGCGAUCGAGGGUGCAAUCCAAUUUUCCCGAGAAAAAGCGCCAGAAAUUAGCAAAACCCAGAAAGCGAAUGCAGUGAAGCAGAGGAUAGAGGCUUUGUAAGCUCGCAAGAACUCCAACUGUAGCUUGGUUUCUCUGCAGUUCUCAAGCUGGUGAACAAGAGGGGUAAUUAACUGUUCUUACAGUUGGUUCUGGAAAAAAAAGCUUGGUUUUUGGAGAAGUUUGGUGAACUUAGGGUUUUGAUUUAUCAGGAAGUUGAAUUUAAAUUUGGUGAUUUUAAGGGUUUUGGGAUCUUGCGAGCUCUGUACGGAGUCUGAUCUUUAGGGUUUGCAUUGUGUGGUAUGUGGGUUGAUGAAUUUGGGUUCGUUUUGAAGACGAGGAUAACAGUGAUACGGGUUGGAAUUGGGGUUUUGUGGUUUUGAACUGUUCGAUUAUUGUGUGUUUGAUUUGGGAGGUUUUGGGUUUAGGAAGAUGGGAUUGGGUUCUGCAUUGUGUGGUAUGUGGGUAGAGGAAUUUGGGGUCGUUUGGAAGCAGAGUUAAGUGUUUUCAGUUUGGAAUUCAGGUUUCCAGGUUUUGUUUGUGGAUUGUGUAUGAGAAAUGCAACCGCAGCAGAGCUCGCGGAUUGAUGUGGCAGAUUUGAAGGUUCAGAUAGUGAAGAAAAUUGGGGCUGACAGGGCAAGACGGUAUUUUUAUUACCUAAAUAGGUUGUUGAGCCAGAAACUGUGUAAGAGUGAGUUUGAUAAGUUGUGUUCUCGAGUACUUGGGAGAGAGAACGUGUUGCUGCACAAUCAGUUUAUUCGAUCUAUCUUAAAGAAUGCCUUUCAUGCUAAAACCCCACCGCCAUUUCAUGCUAAAACCCCACCGCCAUUUCAUGAUGCGGGGCCCACAAAUUCUGUUGAAGAAGAUGGGCAUGAACAAAGCAGGGCUGUCAUUGCAAAUCCAACUCCAAAUUCGCCAAUUUGGUCGAAUGGAGCUGUUCCAUCGUGGAAGAGUAGGCCUGUUAUCCGUGAUCGGAAGCCUCGGGACCGCCCUAGUCCUCUUGGACCAAAUGGGAAGGUAGAUUAUGGGCCUCAAUGGGCACCUGUAGAAGAUAGUGGUAGUAAAGUUCUUACUGAAAAUGGGGAGUUGACUCCUUGUGAUUACCAGAGGCCAGUGCAGCCACUUCAAGGAGUUGCUGAGCUACCUGAGAAUCAAAGGCAGGUUUCUGCUCAGCGACCCAAGGGGACUCCGAGACAUAGCCAAGAUCAUACAGGAUUAGCGGUUGUUGAAGAUGGGGAAGAGGUGGAGCAAGCCAGCCACUUGAAAUUCUCGAGAAGUCGUCUUAUUGCUCCUCUUGGGAUACCAUUUUGCUCAGCUAGUAUAGGUGGGGCCCGGAAAGCUUUGUCAGUGCCAAGCAAUGAUAAUAUGGUUAGCUAUUUUGACAGUGGUGGGUUGUUCGAUACAGAGAUCCUGAGGAAACGGAUGGAGCAGAUUGCUGGAGGACAGGGCCUUGGGGGUGUUUCAAUGGAAUGUGCUAAUAUGCUAAAUAAUAUGUUGGAUGUGUAUUUGAAACGGUUAAUCAAGUCGUGUGUUGAGUUGGUGGGAGCAAGGUCCAAAAAUGAACCAAAAAAGCAUCACCCUGUGAAGCAGUCAAUUCAAAGUAAGAUUGUCAACGGCAUGUGGCCUAGUAACCACUUACAUAUGCAAAGUAGCAGUGGGCCCAUCGAAGUUAUUCAGGAACAGAGACCCCUUUGCUCAAUAUCUUUGCUUGAUUUCAAGGUUGCAAUGGAGCUAAAUCCACAGCAACUUGGAGAAGACUGGCCAUUGCUUCUGGAGAAAAUUUGCAUGCAGACGUUCGAGGAAUAAAAAACCAUACAAACAGCUAUUUUGUAAGCUAUGGUCAAAUCAGUUAAUUAUGCACUGAAGGAUGUGAUAACCAUGUUUGGACUCUGUUGAUGCAGCCAUUUCGCUUCUCAAGGCCAUGUUGAGCCAGAUGACUCCUAUUUGGAUAAUGCUUAGACCCUUGCAAGAUGAGAUGAGGGCUUGAGCAUGAAUGAUAUGUGAUCACAUGCUGCAUUCCUUGCACAUCCAUCAGAAAUUCUUUUAUAGCAGCCAAUCAAAGGGUACUUCAAACAGAAUGCUCAUUUUUGGUUGCUCUCUGUUGUAUGACUAGCAUUCAUGUUGGCUGUCUUCCGCAGUCACUGAAGAACUUGAGCUUUUUCGUGUAAUUUACAGCCACUGGAGGGGAAAUCUAAGAAAAUUUUGCAGGGACACUGUUGUGUAAGAGCUGCAGUUUGCUCUGUAACCAUGAUAUGUAGAGCCAUCCAUUUAGCACCUUUGUUUCUGAGAAUGUGAAACAGAAAGAAGACGACUAGAGUGGUUGGUAUUUGAAAUAAGUUGACCUUUCAAACGGUGCCAUAGGUGUAUCUUCAUCGUCAACCUUGAACUCUCUAUUUGGUAAAGGCUGGCGUUGGAUUUGUGAUCUGCGGCCCAGAGAUCGACCUAGCCUUCUUGGGGAUCAAAUAGGAAGGCAGAUUAUGCUGUAAUCAACCAUCUAUCAAUAGCCACAAAAAAUAGUGAUGAUUUGUAAUUGUGGAAAAAGGCUGAUCUGACUACCCAAUUUCCAAGGUCAUUGGAGCAUCCUAGAGGAUUCACUGAGCAACCUAGGGAUGAUAGUGAAUUUGCUCUAUGGAAAGCUGAAAUAAAGCGAUCAAUGGAUGUACUAAUUUCUUUACAUCAAAAAUAUCAGAUCGAGGUGGCAAUUGUUGAAGAUGGGAAGAGUUUGAGCGGUUCAGCCACUGAAAUUUCACCAGAAGUCCUCCCUUGGGUGUUUCAUUUUGCUCAAGCCAAUGCAGUUGCCGAACUUCUCUUGUAACAAGCAGUGAACAUUUGUAUAAAUUGCUGGAUUAUCUAACAUGCAGACAUGCAAGAAACAUAUGAAGUAGACUGCAGCAGUUCACGUCCUCACUGCCCUAGAACUCAAUGGUUAGACCGACUUGUUCAACACUAUACUUUGAUUCUUCCCUUAUGAAAGGAUGGUUUCUAUCUAAUUUGCUAAUAUGUUGAAUCAGAUAUUGGAUGUGCACUUGGAUCGACUGAUCAAAUUUUGCAGGGUCAGUGGGAUCAAGAUGUUCAGAAAAUCAGUCACAAGCUUAUGAAUGGCACGUGGCAUCUAAACACUCCUAUAUGCAAAGUGGUAGUGGGAUCAACAAGUUAUGCAGGGGUGACGAAUCGAUUGCUAACUAUAUUUGUUUGAUCUUAGAGUUGGAAGUGCAACCUAUGCUGCUGGAACUUGGGGGCAAGCUGACCAGUGCCGGUACGGAAGAAAAUUUACAUCAAUGCAUUCAUGGAAUGAAACAUCCACAUGGAUUUUGGUUUUCUCCAAGCUAUAAUUGACUCAGUCUGUUCUGGUUUUGAAGGCUUGGAAAUUGUUGGUGGGCAUCAUUUUACAGCCAGUUUCCUACUUGUGGCAAUGGUGUUCCAGAUGACUCUGAUUAGGAUAAAACUCUGACCCUGCAAAGAUAAAAUGUGUGUUUGACCAUGAAAAAGCUGCAUUCUGCUGUUACAGAAACUGUACCCUGGCAAGCGAUUGAUGGCGCUCACACACGCCUCUGAAUCAACCUUCUCAUAAUUCUAUGUUAAGUGUUGGCCCUCUUCUGCCAGCACAACAAAUCUUGAGCUUUUUGUACAGUUUAUGAUGAGGGGUAAGUUUGAUGUGUAAGAACCACAAUGUUAUUCCAUUUUCUAAGUCUGAAACAUUAUCGAGUCCUUGUAUACUUAAUAGGCUAUAACAUCCAUUGAAUUAUCUUGA